rnacentral:rRNA from 1 species
CCUGCCCAGUGACUAUAUGUUCAACGGCCGCGGUAUCCUGACCGUGCAAAGGUAGCAUAAUCAUUUGCCUUUUAAUUGGAGGCUAGUAUGAAUGGGUAGACGUGGAUUCAGCUGUUUCUAUAUUAUAAAUAAAACUUAAACUUUAGGUGAAGAUGCCUAAAUCUUAUAGAAAGACAAGAAGACCCUAUAGAGUUUUCUUUGGUUGGGGCGACCUAGGAUUUUACUAAACAUCCUAAUAAUUAUAUAUAUAUCUUAAUUAUUGACCUGAACGGAUUAUCAGAAUUAACUACCUUAGGGAUAACAGGCUUAUCUUCCUAGAGAGCUCUUAUUGAUAGGAUGGUUUGGCACCUCGAUGUUGGCUUAGAGUAACUUAAUACCGCAGCAGGUAUUUAAAGUCAGUUUGUUCAACUGUUAAUUCUCU